rnacentral:tRNA from 1 species
AUUUAAAUAGUUUAAUAAAAAUAUAAGUUUGUGGUUCUUAAGAUAAUUUUUUAUUUUUAAAUA